AAAAAAAUCAAUCAAAUUGAAAAUUAUUUAACUAUUUAAUUUACAUGGGCAAAACUUUAGUGAGUAACUGAUUGAAAUAACUGUUAAUGACUACUUGAUUUCGUAUUUAGUUAAAUUUUUUAUAAAAAAAUAUCUUUAAAAAAUGUAAAGUAAUUUAAUAGAAAGUAGACAAUUUGAAUUAUUGUGCAAGAUUACAAACCGUAAAAAAUAAUCAAAAUAUCUGUGUGGGAGAAAUAUCAAACUAUAAACCAAAAUCUAGCCGUUGCGAGUGCCAGUGUGCCACUGAUCUAUUUCUAAAGCUAGAAUCGGCCUUCUCUUUGAAAUAGGUAAUAGUUAGACUGUCUGUUAAAACCCUGAGCCAGAUUUUUCUUACCUUUAUGAAAACAAGAAAUGUAGAAAGAUGCCGUUGUCUGCCAUUAACAGUCUCUGUUUCCAAAACCAACCCAAUGCAUCGAACUUUCGUCAGAAAUUAAUAAAUAGAAAAUCUAACUCUCCGAUUUUCUUCAGACCCCCCAUUAACCAUAUUUACUUCUCGAUCCAAUCAUGUGGUCCUCUCUCACCAAACUAGGGUUUCUUUCCCAUUAGUCCCAUGAGCCCCACCCCCAUCUCUAUUUAAAGUCCCUUUAGACCACCAUCCCUCUUCACAAGUGGAACUAGGGUUUCUCUUCACGACUACGGUUUGUCUUUUAGUUUGUAGAUCUGUAAAUGUGAGUAAAUGGGAGCUCCCUUUGAUUCAAAAGCAGGAGGGAGAGAGGGUCUUACACUGCUGCUGGUUCAUGGAUACCUCUGGGGUGCGCACGGUUUUUGUGGCUUCAGGGUGCGUAAGAAAUUUAGCCUGAAAUACGUUGAAGGGCAUGCAUAUGCGGACCCGGACGGAGCACCAUAUCAUUUAGUUUCUUUUUUGCUUGUGUAAAUCUACGAAAGCCAAAUGAUUUUUGUUGUCCAAAUUUGCCAGGGAAUGUUCAUGGCGUUUUUCCAGACUGCGUGACUCUGUAAACUAAUUAAACAAACACAUUCAAUGAAUUAA